CCUACGGGAGGCAGCAGUGGGGAAUAUUGGGCAAUGGAGGAAACUCUGACCCAGCGACGCCGCGUGCGGGAUGAAGGCCUUCGGGUUGUAAACCGCUUUCAGCAGGGAAGAAGCGAAAGUGACGGUACCUGCAGAAGAAGCACCGGCUAACUAUGUGUCAGCAGCCGCGGUAAUACAUAGGGUGCAAGCGUUGUCCGGAAUUAUUGGGCGUAAAGAGCUCGUAGGUGGUUCGUCACGUCGGAUGUGAAAAUCUGGGGCUUAACCCCAGACCUGCAUUCGAUACGGGCGAGCUUGAGUAUGGUAGGGGAGUCUGGAAUUCCUGGUGUAGCGGUGGAAUGCGCAGAUAUCAGGAGGAACACCAAUGGACGAAGGCAGGACUCUGGGCCAUUACUGACACUGAGGAGCGAAAGCGUGGGGAGCGAACAGGAUUAGAUACCCUGGUAGUCCACGCCGUAAACGGUGGGCACUAGUUGUGGGGACCUUCCACGGUCUCUGCGACGCAGCUAACGCAUUAAGUGCCCCGCCUGGGGAGUACGAUCGCAAGNUUAAAACUCAAAGGAAUUGACGG
rnacentral:rRNA from 1 species